UACGGGGGGAGCAAGCGUUGUUCGGAUUUACUGGGCGUAAAGGGCGCGUAGGCGGCGUGACAAGUCACUUGUGAAAUCUCCGGGCUUAACUCGGAGCGGCCAAGUGAUACUGUCGUGCUAGAGUGCGGAAGGGGCUACUGGAAUUCUCGGUGUAGCGGUGAAAUGCGUAGAUAUCGAGAGGAACACCGGCGGCGAAGGCGGGUAGCUGGGCCGACACUGACGCUGAGGCGCGAAAGCGUGGGGAGCAAACAGG
rnacentral:rRNA from 1 species